UUAAUUUUGCUAUCGUAGGAGCUUCUGCCCCACUUGGAAGGGCUGAUGUGCAUUUCCUCUUGUGCCGCUUCCCUCCAGUUUUAAGAAAAUUCUCCACCUCGACUGUAAUCUUCUUUUUCCUGGAUGAUCUUCUCACUUCAUCUGCCUAAGAUAUCAGGAAAGUUUUUAAGUAUCAUGCCAGUAAUCAAACAUUUUGUAAUUUUUAAAUAAGACUUAUGUUUUUUACCUGGUUUGUUUCAGAGUUGAAUAAAUUAGCAACAGGCAUUGUUCUCUCACCAGGUGGCGCAUCAUAAAAAUCCACAGAUGACAUAGGAUCAUCAAGUGAAGGAAAGGGUGUAGAAUGGGACAUCAAAGCUGGUAUAUUUUCUGCACUGCCAGAUGUUUGCCAUUGUGUUGGAAUGAACAUGUCCUGGUUAAGAACAAAGGUGAAAAGAAAAAUGUAGAAGAGCCAGCAUUACCACAAAAAGAACUGCUUGGUGUUGUAGGAUCCUGGUUUGUAAAAACACAAUUAAGGGAAUGCAAAGUUCAAACUUAUCAAAGUACAAAGUAGUUAUGUCAUCUUACUAUAUACACUGCUUCAACAGGUAUUUCUUCCAUAGGCUGCAAGGACCAAUAAAGAUAUACUGAAUGACAAUUUGUAAUCUUUUCUUUAACACGCAAUAUUAUAUUUCUCAAAUUAAAAUAAGUUGUACCUCAUUGGCUUGGAUCCGCAAACUUCUUCUCUGGGGAGCGACAUUCUCUUUAUCUUCCUACAAUUAAGACAAAGGAGUGUUAUUCUCAGUGGUAUUCAAUACUAGAAGCUAUCAUAGCAUAUGCGUGUAAAUUAGAUAAUAGAAUUAAGAACUCUGGUCAUGGAAUCUUACCCUUUUCUUCCACCUUUGCUCCCUUUUGUUAUCUCUCCAUUUGGCCCUUGUUUCACUCGAUAUGGUUUGCUUAGCGUAUCUGGCCCUAUCACCUUCUCUACGUUUUCGAAUAAACUCUGGAUCAUUCUUUUUUUUAGCCCUAUAAUUGCGCAUCUUCUCAGCAUUUUUUUGCUUGCUAUUCAUUUUUGCAGCAGCUGCCAAUAUGAAAAACCAAACACCUGCCAUUAAUUAUGCAACUAUUUUUAGAGAAUUUAAUUAUAUCUUAAAUCAGGGAAUGUAAAUUAUGGUAGCCAGCAUGCCUGCCCAAUGAACAGGAAAAACUCACUUUCAGUCAUUUGACUGUUUUUGACUGUCAAAGUGAGUCUCUUUCUGCCUAAAAAUUUGACUAGCAAGUGAUACUAGCUUGAUGUCAAAUGACUUAAAGUGAGUCUUUUGUGUUUAAUGGAUGUGCUGUGCUGAACAAGGUAAAAUGAAAUGAACGAUUUAUGGUUUUUAUACUUUAAAUAUCUUACAAAACGUAACAGGUUAAGAAGCAUGUGACCAGGGACAGACUUCUUUGUCAGUUCAGAAAUUGACAAACUAAAGAUAAGUGAUAUACUGUGUUUCCAAAGAAGGCCCUCUCUCAAGGUUUCCUCAUACUGUAGUGCAAACUAUUAUGAAAAUUACAAAUAGACAAAACUUACCCACACGGCGAGAGAAAAGGAACAUCAACGGCUGCGGCUGCGUUGUGAUUUGAACAUCGCCCACUAUUCCUCCCUCGCUUAUGAUUGGUCGACGCCCGGACCACCAGGUGGCGCCAUCUCUUGAUAGUUGUCACAGUUGCACGGCGUGAGAAGUGGUUCGUGUUAUGGUCGCUAGACUGGCGCUGUUUGUACAGCGGACUGUGGGGAGAGGGCGACUUAAAUAUGCAACUGUAUUAUUCGUGUGAGUGUGACUUCUCUAAAACUGUAUGUCCUCCCUGUAACCAUCCACGCCUUCCGAGUGCCUCCUUAACCCCACUUUCUCAAUUAGUGUCCUCCCUGUAACCCGAUGACCUGUUUUAACCACCCACGUCCCCCGUGUACCGUGUUUACUCUCCAAUGUCCUCUGUGUAGCCAAAAUGUCCUUCUUGUACCCAAAAUGUCCUUCUUGUAACCAAAAUGUCCUCCCUGCACCGUUUCUCCUUCCCUUCACCCGCCAGUGUCCUCCGUGUAACCCCAAUGUCCUCUGUGUAACCUCCUUGUCCCC